GACAGAGGGUGCUAGCGUUGUUCGGAAUUACUGGGCGUAAAGGGCGCGUAGGCGGCCCCGUUUAGUCGGGUGUGAAAUCCCGGGGCUCAACCCCGGAACUGCAUUCGAUACUGGCGGGCUUGAGACCGGAAGAGGUGGGUGGAAUACCCCAGUGUAGAGGUGAAAUUCGUAGAUAUUGGGUGGAACACCGGUGGCGAAGGCGGCUCACUGGUCCGGUUCUGACGCUGAGGCGCGAAAGCGUGGGGAGCAAACAGG
rnacentral:rRNA from 1 species